AUAGAAAAGCACACUAGAAGGGGAAAACAGGAUGCAGGACAACAGCAAAAACAGGGCGUAAAUCCUCACACUGGUGCGAAGUGGUGACGAGUGUGUCUCAUCACCCUCUGAUGAGACACAUUACCUUAUUAUUACUGUAUUUAUUUAUUUUUCUUCCAGUGAUGUGUUUGCAACAUUAUUGAGUUUUGAUUUUCCUUUUAACCUCAUGAUUUUCCAAGAACUGAAUUUCACAUUUCUCUGUUUCAGUUCCUAUCUAUUUAUUUGUAUGGUGUAUUUGUAUGGUGACUUUCAGUUUUUUUGGCUUAGCUGCCUCGGUUGUACUACUGUUGGGGUGGUUAUAGCUCUGGAGUAAAUAGGUCAUCGACCAAUCAAGUGCUAGUAAGCCUAGUUAGUAUUCUUAUCUGUUUUGCUGUUGUCCUUCCAUGUUGCCCUCUCAAUUGUUGUUUUCUUUUUCUUUUUACUUUUUUUUUUUUAAAGAUAUAAUAACUGACACCAUUUGUGGUUUUAGAAUUUGGGAAAUGAUUUUUGGUAUCAAAAACUGCUGCGCACAUCUGAUCAGUUGUUUGUCAUUUACAUGUCUUUAUCAUUGCUGUUUCAGAGAAAUGGCUCUUUUUUUUUAUCAAGGAACCAUCUUUUCAAUGCUCUGCAGUUAAGGGGGAAAACAGAAAGUAGGCUGCUCAUCUCAAAAACCGUCUGCAGAAAUUCUUCAGAAAAGCAAACAGCUUUUAAUGCAACACCACCAGUUAAAACAUUUUUCAGAUUGUAUUUUUAAGUGUGUGGAACUGGAGCCAGAUUCUUAUUUUGUUAACUAGUAAAUAUGUGCCAAAGCAUUUCAUCCAUUUUGAGAAAAAAGUAAAUUAACCGUACAGAAUCCAAAAUUUAAUUUCCUCACAUAUAAAGUUUUACAUAACCAGGCCCCAUCUUAUCUUAUAGAUCUCAAAGCAUCAUAGUAUCUAACAUUUCAUUUCUUUCGGACAGCAGGCUUACUAGUGUUUGUUCGAGAUAAGUGAUCCAUUAAAUAUGCUGCAACAAGCAUUGGCUUCUGGGGGACAUCCCAUGACGCAGUGAGUAUUUCUUCAGUAAUAAUUCAUUAUUAAGUGUGCCUCCUCUUGUCUGUCCUUUGUCCUAUAUCCUUCUGCUUGCUAUUUCCUUAUUCCUAACGGUUGAUGGCAGACUGCCCAUCCAUGACCCUGCUUCUGCAGGAGGUUUAUCCCUGUUAAAAACAAGUUUUUAUUUUUUGCCUUCCCUCCAUCACCAAGGGCUUGUUGAAAGGAGGUAGUGUAAGGUAAAGUCAAGUGCUUUGAUG
ensembl:lncRNA